UACGGAGGGUGCAAGCGUUAAUCGGAAUUACUGGGCGUAAAGCGUGCGCAGGCGGUUUGUUAAGUCCGCUGUGAAAUCCCCGAGCUCAGCUUGGGAAUUGCAGUGGAUACUGGCAAGCUGGAGUAUGGUAGAGGAAGGUGGAAUUCCCGGUGUAGCAGUGAAAUGCGUAGAGAUCGGGAGGAACACCAGUGGCGAAGGCGGCCUUCUGGACCAAUACUGACGCUCAUGCACGAAAGCGUGGGGAGCAAACAGG
rnacentral:rRNA from 1 species